GCGGCCGCUUCUGCUGCUCGUGCUGCUGGCGGGCGCGGCGCAGGGCGGCCUCUACUUCCGCCCGGGACAGACCUGCUACCGGCCUCUGCGGGAGGACGGGCUGGCUCUGCUUGGGCGCAGCACAUACCCCCGGCCUCAUGAGUACCUGUCCCCAGCGGAUCUGCCCAAGAGCUGGGACUGGCGCAAUGUGGAUGGUGUCAACUAUGCCAGCAUCACCCGGAACCAGCACAUCCCCCAAUACUGCGGCUCCUGCUGGGCCCACGCCAGCACCAGCGCUAUGGCGGGUGAGUGGCCGCCCUUUGACUGUGGGCCAGGAAAGCCCAUCCCGGCUGCCUCUUUAUAGGCCCAGGCAGCUCAGCCCGCGGUUCCAGGGGCCUGUGAUUCAAGGCCAGGUCAGCCUGGGCUGGGGUGCUAAGGCCGAGGAGCGCGGGCCUUUGCCCUCUGCUGAGGUGACCCAAGCUGGGUCAUUCUGGGGCUUUUGGGUGAUAAGCAGGACUAGGACUGAAUCCCAGUGACGAGUGGCUGCCAGGUGCCCUCUCUCCCCCAAAGCUUGUGACCUCAGCC
rnacentral:sRNA from 1 species